UACGUAGGGUGCAAGCGUUGUCCGGAUUUAUUGGGCGUAAAGAGCGUGUAGGCGGCCAGGUAGGUCAGCUGUGAAAACUCGAGGCUCAACCUCGAGACGUCGGUUGAAACCACCUGGCUAGAGUCCGGAAGAGGAGAGUGGAAUUCCUGGUGUAGCGGUGAAAUGCGCAGAUAUCAGGAAGAACACCCGUGGCGAAGGCGGCUCCCUGGGCCGGUACUGACGCUGAGACGCGAAAGCGUGGGGAGCGAACAGG
rnacentral:rRNA from 1 species